rnacentral:rRNA from 1 species
GACGAACGCUGGCGGCGUGCUUAACACAUGCAAGUCGAGCGGUAAGGCCCUUUCGGGGGUACGACGAGCGGCGAACGGGUGAGUAACACGUGGGUGACCUGCCCUCAGUUCUGGGAUAAGCCUGGGAAACCGGGUCUAAUACUGGAUAUGACCUCAUGACGCAUGUUGUGGGGUGGAAAGCCUUGUGCGACUGAGGAUGGGCCCGCGGCCUAUCAGCUUGUUGGUGGGGUGAUGGCCUACCAAGGCGACGACGGGUAGCCGGCCUGAGAGGGCGACCGGCCACACUGGGACUGAGACACGGCCCAGACUCCUACGGGAGGCAGCAGUGGGGAAUCUUGCGCAAUGGGCGAAAGCCUGACGCAGCGACGCCGCGUGAGGGAUGACGGCCUGG